AUGCAGCACGCAGUGUUGGGGAAACAGAAAGGAAACCCGGAAAAGAAAACAGAGCAGGACUCCACUCCACACUCCACUCUCCUCCCCCCUCCUCACUCUUUCUUGGAUCGUAAGGAAACGGAAGAAAUACAUCCGCGAUCGUGGAGGGGACAUUUUGAUCGGUGUUGGUUUCCCAAGGCCGAGACGAGGGUACGUGGUGGUCGUCAUGGAUCGGGGCGUGGACGGGAGGACGGGGAGGGACCAGCAGCGGAGGCGACCGAGCCCUUUCUCCCGCUCUUUGCUCCUCUUCUCGCAGUAAUCGGGGAAGGUGGUGGUGGUGGUGCCGGUGCCAUCUGA
rnacentral:rRNA from 1 species